rnacentral:lncRNA from 10 species
ACACACACACACACACUCACAUACAGACACAACCACACCACACACACACACACACACUCACAUACAGACACAACCACACCACACUCACACACACACACACUCACAUACAGACACAACCACACCACACACACAUACACACUCACAUACAGACACAACCACACCACACACACACAUACACACUCACAUACAGACACAACCACACCACACACACACACACUCACAUACAGACACAACCACACCACACACACACAUACACACUCACAUACAGACACAACCACACCACACUCACACACACAUACACACUCACAUACAGACACAACCACACCACACUCACACACACACAUACACACUCACAUACAGACACAACCACACCACACUCACACACACACAUACACACUCACAUACAGACACAACCACACCACACACACACAUACAGACACAACCACACCACACACACACACACAUACACACUCACAUACAGACACAACCACACCACACACACACACACAUACACACUCACAUACAGACACAACCACACCACACUCACACACACAUACACACUCACAUACAGACACAACCACACCACACUCACACACACACAUACACACUCACAUACAGACACAACCACACCACACACACACACACAUACAGACACAACCACACCACACACACACACACACACACACACACUCACAUACAGACACAACCACACCACACACACACAUGAAAAGGGUCUGUUGGAGUGUGGCAUAUUACCCAGUCAAAAUAUUUUAUA